UACGUAGGGGGCAAGCGUUGUCCGGAAUUAUUGGGCGUAAAGAGCGUGUAGGCGGCCAGAUAAGUCCGCUGUGAAAUCUCGAGGCUCAACUUCGAGCUGUCGGUGGAAACCAUCUGGCUAGAGUCCGGAAGAGGAGAAUGGAAUUCCUGGUGUAGCGGUGAAAUGCGCAGAUAUCAGGAGGAACACCGGUGGCGAAGGCGGGUCUCUGGGCCGAAAUUGACGCUGAGGAGCGAAAGCGUGGGGAGCAAACAGG
rnacentral:rRNA from 1 species